CGCACCGCACCCGCCACCGUCGCUGCCGCCAUGGGCGUGCAGGUGGAGACCAUCUCCCUUGGAGAUGGGCGCACCUUCCUGAAGCGCAGCCAGACCUGCGCGGUGCACUACACCGGGAUGCUGGAAGAUGGAAAGAAAUUUGAUUCCUCCCGGGACAGAAACGAGCCCUUUAAGUUUGUGCAAGCGGGAAGUGAUCCGAGGCUGGGAAGAAGGGGUGGCCCAGAUGAGUGUGGGUCAGAGAGCCAAACUGAUUAUCUCUACAGACUACACUUUCGGGGUCACUGGUCACCCUGGCAUCAUCCCACCAAACGCCACUCUGGUCUUCGAUGUGGAGCUUCUAGGACUGGAAUGACAGAAAUGGCCUCCUUCCUUAGCUCCCUGUUCGUGGAUCU